CCUAUGUAAAUUAUCUAUUAUCAUUUGUAACGAUUAGAGCUCCUUUGUGCUCUAAAUGUUGUCAAUUGGGACCAAUAGAGUAACCAGUGAACUCUGAAGGGAUUAAUUAUGAAUAAAGAGACAGACCAAUAUUAAUAAUUACAAGAAAUGACAUUUUUGGUAACAUUAAUAAUUGGUCAAUUGGUGCUGGAAGAUAAAAUAUCAAUUGGGAUAUUUUGGUUACUACUUAAUAUUAUACAUUAUAUAUAUUAUAUGGUACGUGUGGUGGAAAAGGAAAAAGAAGAAGUGGAUAAGAAGAGAGGUGGUAGGUAAGAGGAAAGAAGAUAUAUCAGAAAGAAGAAAAGAAAGGAAAGAAAAGAAAGAAAGGGAAGAGGAGAAAAAGAGGAAAAGAGGAAAAGAGAAAGAGGAAGAAGACUCAUGGGAGAAGAAGAAGAUGAAGCCAUGGAACCACCAUCAACUCAUCUUCAUCAUCACCAACUUCAUCUUGUUCUUCUACUAGGUGAGUUCUUAGAUAGUUUUAGCCUUUGGGGGAAAAUAAUCUAUAUUUGUGGGGUUAGGGUUUGUGUGAAUUUGUGAUAAACUUGUUGUGUACAUACUCCUUAUCCAUGAUAUGUGUUGAAAAAUCAUGUUAUGUGGAAAUAGUAGGUAAAAAUGGUAUAUGGAAAGGAAAAAAUAAAAGAUGAGUUAUUUAAGGAAAGAAGUUACUGAGAGAAUUAAUGGAAAUUGGAAUUUAACCGGUAUGAGGUAACCGGUUAACGCGUAGUAAAACUCAAUUUCUGGGCAGUUGCGUGAGUGGUUAACCGGCAGUUGCGUGAGUGGUUAACCGGUUAAAACUGAAACAGAAUUAAAUCUUCUGUUUGUGCAGAAUUUGUCACAAGUGGGAUUCGAACCCAGGACCUCCUUGAAACUGUACAUGCCUUACCACUAGGCUAGAGAGGUUGUUGUUGAAUACUUAUGCAAUGAAUAAAUAUUAAUCUAAAUCUUGAUUAAGAUAGAUUAAUGAAUUAAUUGAGCAUUAUAGCUCCGUUUUGGAUGCGGACGGAUGCAUUAGUAAGAUAAUGAAANAAUUUGGUUACUACUUAAUAUUAUCCUUAUAUAUAUUAUAUGGUACGUGGGGAAAAGGAAAAAACGAAAGACGUGGAUCAGAAGAAGGUGGUAGGUAAGAGGAAAGAGAUAUAUCAGAAAGAAAGAAAAGAAAGGAAAGAAAAGAAAGAAAGGAAGAGGAGAAAAAGAGGAAAAGAGAAAAGAGAAAGAGGAAGAAGACUCAUGGGAGAAGAGAAGAUGAAGCCUGGAACCACCAUCAACUCAUCUUCAUCAUCACCAACUUCAUCUUGUUCUUUCUAUUAGUAGUUCUUAGAUAGUUUUAGCCUUUGGGGGAAAAUAUAUCUAUAUUUGUGUGGGUUUUGUGUGGAAUUUGUGAUUAAAUUGUUGUGUACAUACUCUUUCUUAUCCAUGAUAUUGUGUUGAAAAUUCGAUGUUUGGAAAAUUAUGUUAUGGUAAAAUGGUAUUUGGUUAAGGAAAUAAUAUAAAGAUGAGUUAUUUAAGGAAGAAGUUACUGCAGAGAAUUAAUGGAAAUUGGAAUUUAACCGGUAUGAGGUACCGGUUAACGCGUAGUAAAACUCAUUUCUGGGCAGUUGGUGAGUGGUUAACCGCGUUGCGUGAGUGGUUAACCGGUUAAAACUGAAACAGAAUUAAUCUUCUGUUUGUGCAGAAUUUGUCACAAGUGGGAUUCGAACCAGGACCUCCUGAAACUGUAGCAUGCCUUACCACUAGGCUUAGAGAGGUUUGUUGUUGAAUACUUAUGCAAUGAUAAAUUAAUCUAAAUCUUGAUUAAGAUUAGAUUAAUGAAUAUGAGCAUUAUAGCUCCGUUUUGGAUGCGGACGGAUGCAUUAGUAAGAUAAUGAAAAAGGCUAUUAUUAUAAAUCAAUAUAGUAAAUUAUGUGUCUUACAAAUUAAAUGAAUUAAUUUUAGAUGGGUGUUAACAUGGUUGAUAUGGUUGAUUGUGAAAUAACACGACUAAAGAUAACGUAAAGGACUAAUUAUUAUUGUUCCAUGUUAUAAAAUAGGAUGUGAUUUAUAAAUGCCAUGAAUUUUAUUAUGAUGAAAAUUAAUAUUGUUAUUAGGUGGAAGGGAAAUACAUGAUUAAAAAACCUUACAAAGAUGAGUGAGGAAACCUAGGAGAAAAUAACUUGUUAAUAACUUAGAAGAUAAUCUAGUUAUGGAACAUGUGAAGAUACAUGUAUGAGAAUACGGUAUUCAUUCGUACGACGCUUAUGUGAGUCGUGGACGAAUUGUUGCCAUGAUUGAGAUGAGACGCAUUGUAUGGAACAUGCCAUGUUAUUAUUUGUUUACUAUGGUGAUAUGAAGUCACCUAUGAUUAUGAAACAUGCAUGUUAUUAUGUGUGUAUCAUAGUGAAUGAAGUCAACUAUGAUUUAUGAAUUUUGUUAUGGUUCGUGAACCAAUGAUUUGCGAAACCGAUCAUGUAUUCAGAAUGUGUUUUUCUGUGAUGGUACAACAUCUCAUUGGUAUGCUUAAACGUGUAAGCAUUGGGAUGUGGGACCAAUGAUUCGAGCCUCAAUUGGGUUUGAGCCCCAACCAUGGCGGACAUGGGGGAAAGGUGGAACCUAUGUGGGUUAGAGGCCAACGGUGAAGAUACCCUAGGUGGGUUAGAGUCCCAUACGGUGACGGUCGCUGAACUGGGGAUUAAGCCUCAUAGAGAACCCGAUAUCCACCGCGAAAGUCGAAUCAUAACGAGCAUGCAUGAACCGGGCCUGGCUUAGACGUAAGUCCGUCGGGAAUUGAUGCGUCGUGAUCUGAAUAAUGAUCGUGGUUGAGUUAUGAGAACUCAGAUGCAGUGCCAUACAAUUGCGAGAUAGUCCCCCAUCGCUCAAGUCUUCGUUCCCUUGUUGACUUGAGUUGGAUAUGAGUUGAACAUUGAUUAGAACCCUGUAGAGCCGAGUGGACCCAUAGGAUAGGAGAACUCACUGAGAUUAUUAUCUCAUCCCAUCAUUGUUGUUAUUUUUCAGGUAUUCUUUACAGGUUG
rnacentral:lncRNA from 1 species